AUGUUUUUUAUGAAGAAAAUCGUUUGGAUUCCUAAACAUUUUUUUGUUAAAUGAUUCGUAUAAUCAGCUACUUCGGAUGUUU
rnacentral:snoRNA from 1 species